rnacentral:rRNA from 1 species
ACGACGCUGGCGGCGUGCCUAAUACAUGCAAGUCGAACGGUCUUUCUAUGGAAGCUUGCUCCACUGAGAAGAUAGUGGCGGACGGGUGAGUAACACGUGGGUAACCUGCCCAUAAGAGGGGGAUAACAUCCGGAAACGGGUGCUAAUACCGCAUAGUUUUCUUGAUCGCAUGAUCGAGAAAGGAAAGACGGCCUUUGUGCUGUCGCUUAUGGAUGGACCCGCGGCGUAUUAGUUAGUUGGUGAGGUAAUGGCUCACCAAGACGAUGAUACGUAGCCGACCUGAGAGGGUGAUCGGCCACAUUGGGACUGAGACACGGCCCAAACUCCUACGGGAGGCAGCAGUAGGGAAUCUUCCGCAAUGGACGAAAGUCUGACGGAGCAACGCCGCGUGAGUGAAGAAGGUUUUCGGAAUCGUAAAACUCUGUUGUCAGAGAAGAACAAGUUGGAGAGUAACUGCUCCAGCCUUGACGGUAUCUGACCAGAAAGCCACGGCUAACUACGUGCCAGCAGCUGC